AUGCUGAAAGACUGCUACUUCCUCUGCUUUCCACAUUUUUUCCCUGCUUUUUCUAAACAACACAUUCCUGUAACCAUAGGACCCACUGUUAGUGAAGCCACUGCUGAAAUCGCUGAUGGAUGUAGAAAGAAGAUAGAUAUUUUCCUGGCCUUUUUGAGAAGAACAAAUGUAUCCUUGGCUUACUAUCUGUUACAUCUUCCGUGACAGCCCUUGGAGUGACAUAAAUUUGAUGAGCUCUGUAAGGCAUUUCC
rnacentral:lncRNA from 1 species